GUUUACUGCUUUGAUCCCAGAGAGUAUGGUAAAUCCUCUUCUGGGUUCGACAAGACUGGGCCUUAUCGGGCCAGUUUUUUGAUCGAAUCGGUUGCUGACCUCCGCAAGAACCUUCAGGUUAGAGGGUCUGACCUUGUGGUCAGAGUUGGGAAGCCAGAAACUGUGUUGAUUGAGUUGGCCAAGGCCAUUGGGGCUGAUGCUGUUUAUGCACACAGAGAGGUGUCUCAUGAUG
rnacentral:lncRNA from 1 species